rnacentral:tRNA from 1 species
CAGAGAAUAGUUUAUAUAAAAUAUUAGUUUUGGGAAUUAAAGAAGAAAAGGAAUUUUUUUCUCUGA